CCCACUACCACCUCUCACAGCACACACAGAUAAAAUUGAUGCUAUUUUAGAUGAAGAAACUGUGUUCACUAGUGAUGGAGAGGUUCAGCGCUUCCUUGUUCGUUGGGUUGGUCGACCAGAUUCUGAUUGUGCAUGGAUCUCCAGGGAGACACUACAGCAUUUGGAUCCAGAUUUGCUAGAGCUUUAUCGGAGUCAGCAGGAUCUUCCUUGGCCCAGAUCGCCUCCCGUCCACCCGAGGGGAGUUGAUGAGGACACCAGGUUCAGACCGCCACUGACGCAUUUCUACAGACGCCGGAAGACACUUGCCCAACCACUCAGCUUAUGGUUGGGAGAUUGACGAGAGUCUACGGUGAUAUAUCCACUCGACAGGGUCGAGUUUUCUCCCACCCCGGGAGAGUUGAUGAGGACAUCCUUUAUAGUUGGACUUUUAUUAUUAUUUCAGUAUUUUAGUUGGACUUUUAUUAUUGUUUCAGUUGGACUUUUAUUUAAAUUUACGUAUUUUAAUUAGGACUUAAAUAAUGGGCUUGGCCCUAUAUUUCUAGGUUUUCAUUAUUUAAACCUAUCAUUGGUUUGUAAUUUCUCAGUUG
rnacentral:lncRNA from 1 species